rnacentral:misc_RNA from 1 species
CCAAUAGCGUAUAUUAAAGUUGCUGCAGUUAAAAAGCUCGUAGUUGAAUUUCGGGACUAAUAUGUCGGUCGUGCCUCGGUACGUACUGGUAUUUUUGGUUUCUCCCUUCUGACGAACCUUGAUGUCAUUAAUUUGGUGUCUUGGGAAAUCAGGACUGUUACUUUGAAAAAAUUAGAGCGUUUAACGCAGGCUCACGCUUGAAUACAUUAGCAUGGAAUAAUGAAAUAGGACGUUUUAUUCUAUUUUGUUGGUUUCUAGGAUCGACGUAAUGAUUAAUAGGGAUAGUUGGGGGCAUUAGUAUUCAAUUGUCAGAGGUGAAAUUCUUGGAUUUAUUGAAGACUAACUACUGCGAAAGCAUUUGCCAAGGAUGUUUUCAUUAAUCAAGAACGAAAGUUAGAGGUUCGAAGGCGAUCAGAUACCGCCCUAGUUCUAACCAUAAACGAUGUCGACUGGCGAUCCGCUUUUGCUAACAUGAAGGCUUAGCGGGCAGCCUCCG